AGCCAGGGUCCCUCUCACGCCCGCCCUGCUGCCCGGCAGACGUCUACCAGCUGCAGGAAGAUGUGCUGGGGGAGGGCGCUCAUGCCCGAGUGCAGACCUGCAUCAACCUGAUCACCAGCCAGGAGUACGCCGUCAAGAUCAUUGAGAAGCAGCCAGGCCACAUUCGGAGUAGGGUUUUCAGGGAGGUGGAGAUGCUGUACCAGUGCCAGGGACACAGGUAGGUGAGCCACCCUUGCCACCGCACUGGCCUGAGCCGUCUUUCAGUGGAUGAAGGGCCUGAGUGCCACAUCACCCCCAGCAAGCGUCUGUAGGGCACCCAGUUUCCCAGGCCCUGCAUUCCCCUCCCUGAAGCAGGCUGGCUGACAGCCCCAGGCGGGCAGUGUGAAGCUGGCCUAUUGCUCCAGUCCCAGCUUCCGGUGGACAGGCCAGCACCAAGAGGGUGGGCCCCUCCUAGGCCGGGCAACAGGUACCCAGGGGCCUCAGGAAGC
rnacentral:lncRNA from 1 species